AAUGAACGCUGGCGGCAUGCCUAACACAUGCAAGUCGAACGAAGGCUUCGGCCUUAGUGGCGCACGGGUGCGUAACGCGUGGGAAUCUGCCCCUUGGUUCGGAAUAACAGUUAGAAAUGACUGCUAAUACCGGAUGAUGACGUAAGUCCAAAGAUUUAUCGCCGAGGGAUGAGCCCGCGUAGGAUUAGCUAGUUGGUGUGGUAAGAGCGCACCAAGGCGACGAUCCUUAGCUGGUCUGAGAGGAUGAUCAGCCACACUGGGACUGAGACACGGCCCAGACUCCUACGGGAGGCAGCAGUGGGGAAUAUUGGACAAUGGGCGAAAGCCUGAUCCAGCAAUGCCGCGUGAGUGAUGAAGGCCUUAGGGUUGUAAAGCUCUUUUACCCGGGAUGAUAAUGACAGUACCGGGAGAAUAAGCUCCGGCUAACUCCGU
rnacentral:rRNA from 1 species